rnacentral:rRNA from 1 species
CGGCUUGGGUGCGGUAGGGGAGACUGGAACUCCUGGUGUAGCGGUGGAAUGCGCAGAUAUCAGGAGGAACACCGGUGGCGAAGGCGGGUCUCUGGGCCGUUACUGACGCUGAGGAGCGAAAGCGUGGGGAGCGAACAGGAUUAGAUACCCUGGUAGUNCACGCCGUAAACGUUGGGCACUAGGUGUGGGGGGCCUUUUCCGGGUCUUCCGCGCCGUAGCUAACGCAUUAAGUGCCCCGCCUGGGGAGUACGGCCGCAAGGCUAAAACUCAAAGGAAUUGACGGGGGCCCGCACAAGCGGCGGAGCAUGCGGAUUAAUUCGAUGCAACGCGAAGAACCUUACCAAGGCUUGACAUGUGCCGGUCUGCUCCGGAGACGGGGUUUCCUCCCUUGUGGGGGCUGGUUCACAGGUGGUGCAUGGUUGUCGUCAGCUCGUGUCGUGAGAUGUUGGGUUAAGUCCCGCAACGAGCGCAACCCUUGUCUCGUGUUGCCAGCACGUUGUGGUGGGGACUCGCGGGAGACUGCCGGGGUCAACUCGGAGGAAGGUGGGGAUGACGUCAAAUCAUCAUGCCCCUUAUGUCUUGGGCUUCACGCAUGCUACAAUGGCCGGUACAGAGGGCUGCGAUACCGCGAGGUGGAGCGAAUCCCUUAAGGCCGGUCUCAGUUCGGAUCGGUGUCUGCAACUCGACACCGUGAAGUUGGAGUCGCUAGUAAUCGCAGAUCAGCAACGCUGCGGUGAAUACGUUCUCGGGCC